rfam:Acyrthosiphon pisum strain LSR1 Contig1965, whole genome shotgun sequence.
GUUGUAAACGGACAGAGCUCGCGAAUCCCCGCCGGGCGAAUUCACGGUCGGUCUAACCGCCGGCCGGAUCUUUCGCUCGGUUAGCGGACGUCGCGACCCGUUGGGCGCCGGCCGAAUGGCCCGGGUGACGUUCGUCGCGUCGGUCGCGUUUCGGCGUGACCGUUCGCGCCGAGCCCCGGUGCUCAUGGUCGGCUCGCCCGACGGCAAGAACCGUCGACGCGGCCCCGUCGCAGGCGGGGUCCCGUCGGUCGGCGACGUGUUUCGAGCUACUUUCCGACCCGUCUUGAAACACGGACCAAGGAGUCUAACGUGUGCGCGAGUCAACGGUGAUCUUACGAAAAACCACGUUUGGCGCAAUGAAAGUGAACCGUUUACGGUGCGGACGAUGGCCUAGCGACCGAACCCACCGGCGUUCAAAGUCGCGCUGGUCCGCAGUCCGGGGGCGUCUCCGCCAAGUCGGCUUCGGCCGGCUGGGGGCGCACCCUUAGCGCACACGUUGGUACUCGAAAGAUGGUGAACUAUGCCUGGCCAGGAUGAAGUCAGGGGAACCCUGAUGGAGGUCCGCAGCGAUUCUGACGUGCAAAUCGAUCGUCUGAGCUGGGUAUAGGGGCGAAAGACUAAUCGAACCAUCUAGUAGCUGGUUCCAUCCGAAGUUUCCCUCAGGAUAGCUGGCGCCGAUGUGUCCCGCCCGUUCGCGGGCGUACGGACGCCGGUGGGACUCCGCGCUGUACGGCGCGGUAACAACACGCUCGUAACACGGAGGAUGUCUCAUACGGUAAAGCGAAUGAUUAGAGGACAUUGGGGCCGAAACGACCUCAACCUAUUCUCAAACUAUAAAUGAGUGAGAUCGCCGGCUUUACCUGGUACACCGCGUGAACCGCGUGCGAAGCCGGCGACGGAACCCUAGGCGCUUAGUGGGCCAUUUUUGGUAAGCAGAACUGGCGCUGCGGGAUGAACCGAACGCCGAGUUAAGGCGCCGAAAUCGACGCGUAUUCAGAGACCAUGAAAGGCGUUGGUUGCUGAUGACAGCAGGACGGUGGCCAUGGAAGUCGGAAUCCGCUAAGGAGUGUGUAACAACUCACCUGCCGAAGCAACUAGCUCUGAAAAUGGAUGGCGCUGGAGCGUCGUGCCUAUACUCGGCCGUCGACGGCAUAGUGGGGCCAGUCGUCGCUCGCGGCGGCCGGUCCCGGCAAGCCUCGACGAGUAGGAUGGCGCGGCGGUGUGCGUCGAAGGGCAGGUCGCGAGACCGCCUGGAGCCGCCGUCGGUGCAGAUCUUGGUGGUAGUAGCAAAUACUCGAGAGGGGCCCUCGGGGGCUGCCGUGGAGAAGGGUUUCUUGUGAACAGCCGUUGUCCAAGAGUCAGUCGAUCCUAAGCCCGGGGAGAGAUCCUCGUACCACGGGCGAAAGCGUUUUCGAAUCGCCCUUGGGGGCGAGAGGGAAUCCGGUUCGUAUUCCGGAACCCGACGCGGAACCGCUCCCUAGUGUUCGGGGCUCUUUUGUCUCGUCUGGGUAACAGAAUGAACUCGAAGAAGCCGCCGGGGGAUCUGGGUAGAGUUCUCUUUU